AUUGAACGCUGGCGGAAUGCUUUACACAUGCAAGUCGAACGGUAGAGGGGGCAACCCCUUGAGAGUGGCGAACGGGUGAGUAAUAUAUCGGAACGUGCCCAGUCGUGGGGAUAACGUAGCGAAAGUUACGCUAAUACCGCAUACGAUCUAAGGAUGAAAGCGGGGGACUCGCAAGAGCCUCGCGCGAUUGGAGCGGCCGAUAUCAGAUUAGGUAGUUGGUGAGGUAAAGGCUCACCAAGCCAACGAUCUGUAGCUGGUCUGAGAGGACGACCAGCCACACUGGGACUGAGACACGGCCCAGACUCCUACGGGAGGCAGCAGUGGGGAAUAUUGGACAAUGGCGAAAGCCUGAUCCAGCAAUAGCCGCGUGAGUGAUGAAGGCC
rnacentral:rRNA from 1 species